GACGAACGCUGGCGGCGUGCUUAACACAUGCCAGUCGAACGGAAAGGCCCUGCUUUUGUGGGGUGCUCGAGUGGCGAACGGGUGAGUAACACGUGAGUAACCUGCCCUUGACUUUGGGAUAACUUCAGGAAACUGGGGCUAAUACCGGAUAGGAGCUCCUGCUGCAUGGUGGUGGUUGGAAAGUUUCGGCGGUUGGGGAUGGACUCGCGGCUUAUCAGCUUGUUGGUGGGGUAGUGGCUUACCAAGGCUUUGACGGGUAGCCGGACUGAGAGGGUGACCGGCCACAUUGGGACUGCGCUACGGCCACGACUCCCACGGGAGGCAGCAGUGGGGAAUAUUGCACGAUGGGCUGAAGCCUGAUGCAGCACCGCCGCGUGCGGGAUGACGGCCUUCGCGUUGUAAACCGCUUUCGCCUGUGACGAAGCGUGAGUGACGGUAAUGGGUAAAGAAGCACCGGCUAACUACGUG
rnacentral:rRNA from 1 species